rnacentral:rRNA from 1 species
CUCAACCGGGGAGGGUCAUUGGAAACUGGGGAACUUGAGUGCAGAAGAGGAGAGUGGAAUUCCACGUGUAGCGGUGAAAUGCAUAGAGAUGUGGAGGAACACCAGUGGCGAAGGCGACUCUCUGGUCUGUAACUGACGCUGAGGCGCGAAAGCGUGGGGAGCGAACAGGAUUAGAUACCCUGGUAGUCCACGCCGUAAACGAUGAGUGCUAAGUGUUAGAGGGUUUCCGCCCUUUAGUGCUGCAGCAAACGCAUUAAGCACUCCGCCUGGGGAGUACGGUCGCAAGACUGAAACUCAAAGGAAUUGACGGGGGCCCGCACAAGCGGUGGAGCAUGUGGUUUAAUUCGAAGCAACGCGAAGAACCUUACCAGGUCUUGACAUCCUCUGACAACCCUAGAGAUAGGGCUUCCCCUUCGGGGGCAGAGUGACAGGUGGUGCAUGGUUGUCGUCAGCUCGUGUCGUGAGAUGUUGGGUUAAGUCCCGCAACGAGCGCAACCCUUGAUCUUAGUUGCCAGCAUUCAGUUGGGCACUCUAAGGUGACUGCCGGUGACAAACCGGAGGAAGGUGGGGAUGACGUCAAAUCAUCAUGCCCCUUAUGACCUGGGCUACACACGUGCUACAAUGGGCAGAACAAAGGGCAGCGAAGCCGCGAGGCUAAGCCAAUCCCACAAAUCUGUUCUCAGUUCGGAUCGCAGUCUGCAACUCGACUGCGUGAAGCUGGAAUCGCUAGUAAUCGCGGAUCAGCAUGCCGCGGGUGAAUACGUUCCCGGGCCUUGUACACACCGCCCGUCACACCACGAAGAGUUUGUAACACCCGAAGUCGGUGAGGUAACCUUUUGGAGCCAGCCGCCGAAGGUGGGACAGAUGAUUGGGGGUGAAGUCGUAACAAGGUAGCCGU